rnacentral:rRNA from 1 species
UACGGGGGGAGCAAGCGUUGUUCGGAUUUACUGGGCGUAAAGGGCGCGUAGGCGGUCAGCACAAGUCAGUUGUGAAAUCUCCGGGCUUAACUCGGAAAGGUCAACUGAUACUGUGCGACUAGAGUGCAGAAGGGGCAACUGGAAUUCUCGGUGUAGCGGUGAAAUGCGUAGAUAUCGAGAGGAACACCUGCGGCGAAGGCGGGUCUCUGGACAGUUCCUGACGCUGAGGCACGAAGGCCAGGGGAGCAAACGGG